rnacentral:rRNA from 1 species
AUUGAACGCUGGCGGCAUGCCUUACACAUGCAAGUCGAACGGCAGCAUGGAGAGCUUGCUCUCUGAUGGCGAGUGGCGAACGGGUGAGUAAUGCAUCGGAACGUACCGUGUAAUGGGGGAUAACGUAGCGAAAGUUACGCUAAUACCGCAUACGACCUGAGGGUGAAAGCAGGGGAUCGCAAGACCUUGCGUUAUACGAGCGGCCGAUGUCAGAUUAGCUAGUUGGUGAGGUAAAGGCUCACCAAGGCGACGGUCUGUAGCUGGUCUGAGAGGACGACGAGCCACACUGGGACUGAGACACGGCCCAGACUCCUACGGGAGGCAGCAGUGGGGAAUUUUGGACAAUGGGGGCAACCCUGAUCCAGCCAUGCCGCGUGAGUGAAGAAGGCCUUCGGGUUGUAAAGCUCUUUCGGACGGAAAGAAAUCGCACUUGAUAAUACCUUGUGUGGAUGACGGUACCGUAAGAAGAAGCACCGGCUAACUACGUGCCAGCCGCCGCGGUAA